rnacentral:rRNA from 1 species
UACGUAGGGGGCAAGCGUUGUCCGGAAUCAUUGGGCGUAAAGAGCGUGUAGGCGGCCCGAUAAGUCCGCUGUGAAAGUCCAGGGCUCAACCCUGGAAUGCCGGUGGAUACUGUCGGGCUGAAUCCGGAAGAGGUGAGUGGAAUUCCUGGUGUAGCGGUGAAAUGACGCAGAUAUCAGGAGGAACACCAAUGGCGAAGGCAGCUCACUGGGACGGUAUUGACGCUGAGACGCGAAAGCGUGGGGAGCAAACAGG